rnacentral:lncRNA from 1 species
GAUCAUUUUUUGGUUACCUCUGGCAACCUACAGAUAACUAGAUAGAUAUAUAUAUAGAUAGAUAGAUGUAUGAUCCUGGGAUACAGCGAUCCACAAAAUGUACUUUUAAUAUCACUAAAAUAUAGACAACUGUAACUGUAGUUUAUCACACGCAGCGAAGUUGCCAAAUUGAUUAGGAUACGGUAUAUGUCAAACUAAACUGUACCGGAUACAUGUAUGUAUUGACAUGAAAUAUUCUAAAUUGACCAUCAAAUUCAACAAAAUUUAUUCAAAAUUGUGGUAUUCGUAUAUAACUUUUGAAAGUAUCAGAAUUCCAACGACCCAUUACUUUAAUUUGCUCAUCAGAAAAACCAAGCAUAGUUGCUGAAGUAGCACUACCGAUUCUAAAUGAGUGCGUCCCAUACUUUGAUUGAUCAAAACCAAUAUACCCCAGGGCUU